GUGCGUAUCAAAGUGUGUAAUUUGGCGGGGGGCUGAAACCUCGGGGAGAAGAACUCUGUGACUGAAUCUGCAAACUCUGUACCCGCGAAGAACAAAUCCAUCUCAAUUCUCCACACUCUUCAUCAAGCUUUGAUCUUCCUUCUCGAUCCAUCUCUCUCUCCAAUCCAAUCGCCCAAUUCGAUUCCCCCAACUCCCACUCUCCGUUUCAAGAAAUUUCCCCUUUUCUUUCCGAUCCCGAUCGAGCUCCAAUUCCAAGAGGAAAAGUGGCAUCACACGAGGCCAAUGUUCGGAUCUAGGUUUUCCAUUUUCGGAACCGGCGGUGGUGCUGAUAGCGUUGACAAGUCGGCCAAGAGCGAGGUUGUUCCUGGCCUCAAGCUUCGCUCCGACAAGGAUGUGUAUCGCCCUGGCGAUCCCGUUGUUGUCACUCUCGAAAUUUCCUCUUCUGUCCCUCAAUUGGACUGCUCCCUUUUGAUCGACCGGCUUAGUUUUGAGAUUAAAGGCCUCCAGAAGUUGGACGCUCAGUGGUUUAGCACUCAGAAGCCGCUCCAUGGAUCCAAACAACGGAGAGGCGAACACGUUUUCAUGGACUGCUCUGUACAAUCAGUAGUUUCAAAUCAGAUGGUUCCCGCGGGGUCUCCUAAGUCAUAUGUCGUCCGAACAACCCUUCCUAGCCGCAUACCACCAUCUUACAAGGGUGCUACUAUUCGAUACAUGUAUUAUGUUAAAAGUACAUUACAAGGACGAUGGCUAAUACAGGAAAAUGGUCGAUCUCAUAAAGAGUCACUGAAGGAUAAAAUAGAUAUGGAAGCUCGGAUUCCAUUACAAGUGUGGGUCACUCAGAAAACCAGUGGCAUGUUAAUGGAAUUGGAAGAAGGUCAAAAUGGUCGAAAUGAUGCCUUUCAAAUGGAUGUAUUUUGGAAAGAGAUGGAAGGUGACACUGAUUGGAUUAGAGCAAAUGAUAUAUAUGAUGGCAUUGAUGAAGGAUAUGAAAGCUCAAGGGAUGAGAUCUCAUCGGUUUCAUCAUACAAUCCCAUGAGAGAAUCUUUUCGCAGAACCUUUGGAAGUUCACCAUCGUUACAAUCAUCUCCUGUGAGAUCUUCAAUAAGGGAUGCUUCUUUUAUUGAAGGAGAGCGAUUAAGUUUUUCUAAUGCCGUGCGUCCUCGGGUCUCUGUUGCUGAGGUCCUAUAUGAUUCUGCUGAUGUCGCAACACCUCAGAAGUCAUCUGCAGUUGUCUCUCCCAGCCAGGCGUUGAAGUUUGGGAAGCAUCAGUCAACAGAUGAUGAUCCUGGAGUACCAUCUUCACCAAUGGCUAGGACUGUUGAACCUGUAGCAUCAGAAGGCUUUCUUCGAGGAAGAUCUUACAAUAUCAGGAUAGACGACCAAGUUUUGCUUAGGUUUUGCCCCAAGAAUUCUGAUUCGACCUAUUAUUUUAGUGACAUGAUAGGUGGAACUCUUACCUUUUUCCAUGAAGAAGGAUCUAGGAGAUGCCUUGAGGUUUCAAUAACUUUGGAGACUUCAGAGACUGUAUCUCACCGUUUUGUCCAUCCAUCUCGGAGAAAUUCUCCAACGAUUGUGAAGGUUCAGAGUGAUCAUUAUGAGGUUGUUGCUGAUUUAAUUCAGACAAGCUUUCUUUUCUCCAUUCCCAUGGAUGGACCCAUGUCCUUUUCCACUCCGCAUGUAUCUUUGAAGUGGGCACUUCGCUUUGAAUUUUUUACCACUCCCAAGAACCUGGAUUGGACCAGAUAUGAGCAUCCUCUUUUGAUAGAAGGAAGAGAAAAAAGUGAGUGGAUUCUUCCAAUCACUGUGCAUGCACCUCCAUCUAGCACUCCGGCUGCUCGAAAUGAGAGGCCUUUCUCCUUGGAGCCCUUGUGGAUGCACAGCUGAAGGGGUUCAUGUUAAAUGAAGAGCUUGUAGAUUUGUCCAAGAAUUUAGUAUCACCUCGACGUCUCGCUGCCGUGAACUUUUCUGAAGAGACUAACAUCGGGCAAAUGUGACUGCCGAGCUGAAGCGCCCGAAGAAGAAGAUGAUUACGGAAGCAUAGACCAUUGACGUUGCAGCUUGACCGUGUCAGCUUCUGCACAAGGCUAUUCUGGUGCUGCCCCAAUGCGCCCCACGGUUCUUGCAGCGGAGAUGACUACUACAUCGGUUCUUGCAGCGGAGAUGACUACUACAUUGUGUGUCUGCAGGCGAUCGUCAUCGGCGAGUGAUCUUGGAAGCUACCCAAGUUUGAUCACUGCUUCCAUGGUGAGUGUAUUGAUGUGUGGCUUCAGUCCCAACCCACAUGCCUGCUGUGUGGAAACCAUGUCGUGGUUCCAUUUUCGUCUUCCUUUUGGCCAUUGGCUUUGAUCACAUCUAUUUUCGUUUCGUUUUUCCAGAGAUUUUGUCACGAAACAUUCUACUCUAUCGAUUGGAUGUUGCCUUGGCUUUAA